AAUCAAGCGCGAGAAGGGCGUUUGGUGGAUGCCUUGGCAGUAAGAGGCGAUGAAGGACGUGAUACUCUGCGAUAAGCGUAGGCGAGCCGAGAAUAGGCUUUGACCCUGCGAUCUCCGAAUGGGGCAACCCACCUGACAGUUUCUUAUUGAUAGCUUCGGUUAUCAAUAAGGUGCUGAGACAGGUACUUUUUACCUGAAUACAUAGGGUUUAAAGAGCAAACCCGGGGAACUGAAACAUCUAAGUACCCGGAGGAAAGGAAAUCAACAGAUACUCCCCUAGUAGCGGCGAGCGAACGGGGACCAGCCGAGCCGUAAUUGUGACCAGAACAACCUGGAAAGGUUGACCAUAGUGGGUGACAGUCCCGUAUGGGAAGCAUGAUCGGACGUAUUAAGUAGGGCGGGACACGUGAAAUCCUGUCUGAACAUGGGGGGACCACCCUCUAAGGCUAAGUACUCCUUACUGACCGAUAGCGAACCAGUACCGUGAGGGAAAGGUGAAAAGCACCCCGACGAGGGGAGUGAAACAGUUUCUGAAACCGGACGCCUACAAUCAGUCGGAGCCUCCUUGAGAGGUGACGGCGUACCUUUUGUAUAAUGGGUCAUCGACUUGGUCUCACAAGCAAGCUUAAGCCGUUAGGUGUAGGCGCAGCGAAAGCGAGUCUUAAUAGGGCGCAUGAGUUUGUGGGAUCAGACCCGAAACCGAGUGAUCUAGGCAUGACCAGGAUGAAGGUUAGGUAACACUAACUGGAGGUCCGAACCCACACCUGUUGAAAAAGGUCGGGAUGAGUUGUGCCUAGGGGUGAAAGGCCAAUCAAACUCGGAGAUAGCUGGUUCUCCGCGAAAUCUAUUUAGGUAGAGCGUCAUCCGAAUACCCCGGGGGGUAGAGCACUGGAUGGGUAAUGGGGGCUUACCGCCUUACUGAUCCUAACCAAACUCCGAAUACCCGGGAGUACUAGAUGGCAGACACACUAUGGGUGCUAACGUCCAUGGUGGAGAGGGAAACAACCCUGACCUACAGCUAAGGCCCCUAAUUCAUGGCUAAGUGGGAAAGCAGGUGGGACGACCAAAACAACCAGGAGGUUGGCUUAGAAGCAGCCAUCCUUUAAAGAUAGCGUAACAGCUCACUGGUCUAAUCAAGUUGUCCUGCGGCGAAGAUGUAACGGGGCUCAAGCCAUGAGCCGAAGCUUAGGAUGCCGUAAGGCAUGGUAGCGGAGCGUAGUGUGAUAAAACCCACGCCUCUUUUGCGGUUUCGACCGUACCGGAGGCUCGGGUUUGACUGUGAAGCCGGCCUGUGAGGGAUCCGGUGGAGUGAUCACUAGUGAGAAUGAUGACAUGAGUAGCGACAAACAGGGUGAGAGACCCUGUCGCCGAAAGUCCAAGGGUUCCUGCUUAAAGCUAAUCUGAGCAGGGUAAGCCGACCCCUAAGGCGAGGCCGAAAGGCGUAGUCGAUGGGAACCAGGUUAAUAUUCCUGGGCCAGGAGGAUGUGACGGAUCUCGAAGAUUGUUUGCCCUUAUCGGAUUGGGCAGGCCGUUUAGAGGUUCCUGGAAAUAGCCCUCCAUGAGAUCGUACCCUAAACCGACACAGGUGGACUGGUAGAGAAUACCAAGGCGCUUGAGAGAACUAUGUUGAAGGAACUCGGCAAAAUACCUCCGUAAGUUCGCGAGAAGGAGGCCCAGUUUCUACGCAAGUAUUGGCUGGGGGCACAAACCAGGGGGUGGCGACUGUUUACUAAAAACACAGGGCUCUGCGAAGUCGCAAGACGACGUAUAGGGUCUGACGCCUGCCCGGUGCUGGAAGGUUAAAAGGAGGGGUGCAAGCCUCGAAUUGAAGCCCCAGUAAACGGCGGCCGUAACUAUAACGGUCCUAAGGUAGCGAAAUUCCUUGUCGGGUAAGUUCCGACCUGCACGAAUGGCGUAACGACUUCCCCGCUGUCUCCAACAUAGACUCAGCGAAAUUGAAUUGCCUGUCAAGAUGCAGGCUUCCCGCGGUUAGACGGAAAGACCCCGUGCACCUUUACUACAGCUUCACAUUGGCAUUAGGCCGAACAUGUGCAGGAUAGGUGGUAGGCUUCGAAGCAGAAACGCCAGUUUCUGUGGAGCCUUCCUUGAGAUACCACCCUUGUUCUGCUUGAUGUCUAACCGCGGUCCGUUAUCCGGAUCCGGGACCCUGUGUGGCGGGUAGUUUGACUGGGGCGGUCGCCUCCUAAAGCGUAACGGAGGCGCGCGAAGGUUGGCUCAGAGCGGUCGGAAAUCGCUCGUUGAGUGCAAUGGCAGAAGCCAGCCUGACUGCGAGACUGACAAGUCGAGCAGAGUCGAAAGACGGCCAUAGUGAUCCGGUGGUCCCGAGUGGAAGGGCCAUCGCUCAACGGAUAAAAGGUACGCCGGGGAUAACAGGCUGAUACUGCCCAAGAGUCCAUAUCGACGGCAGUGUUUGGCACCUCGAUGUCGGCUCAUCUCAUCCUGGGGCUGGAGCAGGUCCCAAGGGUACGGCUGUUCGCCGUUUAAAGAGGUACGUGAGCUGGGUUUAGAACGUCGUGAGACAGUUCGGUCCCUAUCUGCCGUGGGUGUAGGAUACUUGAGAGGAGUUGCCCCUAGUACGAGAGGACCGGGGUGAACGAUCCACUGGUGUACCAGUUGUUCCGCCAGGAGCAGUGCUGGGUAGCUAUGAUCGGAAAGGAUAACCGCUGAAGGCAUCUAAGCGGGAAGCCCCCCUCAAAACAAGGUAUCCCUGAGGACCGAGGUAGACCACCUCGUCGAUAGGCCGGAGAUGUAAGUGCAGCAAUGCAUUCAGUUGACCGGUACUAAUUGUCCGAUAGGCUUGAUUUG
rfam:Confluentimicrobium lipolyticum strain CECT 8621 genome assembly, contig: 0002